AUGAACGCUGGCGGCGUGCCUAAUACAUGCAAGUCGAGCGAACGGACGAGAAGCUUGCUUCUCUGAUGUUAGCGGUGGACGGGUGAGUAACACGUGGAUAACCUACCUAUAAGACUGGGAUAACUUCGGGAAACCGUAGCUAAUACCGGAUAAUAUUUUGAACCGCAUGGUUCAAAAGUGAAAGACGGUCUUGCUGUCACUUAUAGAUGGAUCCGCGCUGCAUUAGCUAGUUGGUAAGGUAACGGCUUACCAAGGCAACGAUGCAUAGCCGACCUGAGAGGGUGAUCGGCCACACUGGAACUGAGACACGGUCCAGACUCCUACGGGAGGCAGCAGUAGGGAAUCUUCCGCAAUGGGCGAAAGCCUGACGGAGCAACGCCGCGUGAGUGAUGAAGGUCUUCGGAUCGUAAAACUCUGUUAUUAGGGAAGAACAUAUGUGUAAGUAACUGUGCACAUCUUGACGGUACCUAAUCAGAAAGCCACGGCUAACUACGUG
rnacentral:rRNA from 1 species